rnacentral:rRNA from 1 species
UACGUAGGCAGCAAGCGUUGUUCGGAAUUACUGGGCGUAAAGAGUGUGUAGGUGGUGCUCUAAGUUUGGUGUGAAAUCUCCCGGCUCAACCGGGAGGGUGCAUCGAAAACUGGAGUGCUAGAGGAUGGGAGAGGCAAGCGGAAUUCCUGGUGUAGCGGUGAAAUGCGUAGAUAUCAGGAGGAACACCUGUGGUGUAGACAGCUUGCUAGACCAUUUCUGACACUGAGACACGAAAGCGUGGGUAGCAAACAGG